AUUGAACGCUAGCGGCAUGCUUAACACAUGCAAGUCGAACGGCAGCACGAGGAGCUUGCUCCUUGGUGGCGAGUGGCGGACGGGUGAGUAACGCGUAGGAAUCUGCCUUAUAGAGGGGGAUAACCCGGGGAAACUCGGGCUAAUACCGCAUAAUCUCUACGGAGCAAAGUGGGGGAUCUUUGGACCUCACGCUAUUAGAUGAGCCUGCGUCGGAUUAGUUUGUUGGUUGGGGAAUGGCCUACCAAGACUACGAUCCGUAGCUGGUCUGAGAGGAC
rnacentral:rRNA from 1 species